UCCAGCAGCCAUAUCACCCUGCAGCCCAAGACUGGUUGCCCACUGAAGCUAAGCAGGGCUGAGCCUGGUCAGUACCUGGAUGGGAGACCUCAUGGGAAAACUAGGUUGCUGCUGGAA
rnacentral:rRNA from 1 species